ACUCCUACGGGAGGCAGCAGUGGGAAUAUUGCACAAUGGGCGAAAGCCUGAUGCAGCGACGCCGCGUGGGGAUGAAGGCCUUCGGGUUGUAAAACCCCUUUCAGUUCAGGGAAGGAAAGCAGAAAGAUGACGGUACCGUGCACGAAAAGCGAACCGGCUCAACGUAACGUGCCAGCCAGCCGCCGGGUAAAUACGUAGGGCGCAAGCGUUGUCCGGAAUUAUUGGGCGUAAAGAGCUCGUAGGCGGUUUGUCGCGUCUGCUGUGAAAUCCCGAGGCUCAACCUCGGGCCUGCAGUGGGUACGGGCAAACUAGAGUGUGGUAGGGGAGACUGGAAUUCCUGGUGUAGCGGUGGAAUGCGCAGAUAUCAGGAGGAACACCAAUGGCGAAGGCAGGUCUCUGGGCCACUACUGACGCUGAGGAGCGAAAGCGUGGGGAGCGAACAGGAUUAGAUACCCUGGUAGGCUCUGC
rnacentral:rRNA from 1 species